UGGGUGGCCCAAAGGGCAGUUGCUUCCAUCAGAGCCCGGCAGUCGGUGGACGGCGGAUGCAGCGUCCCCCCAAACCGCCUCCAAAGACUCUGCUGGGCCACGAGAACUUUUUAAGAGGAAAAAGGGACGCGACCUCGGGGGACCACGGAGACAGGGGUCAGGGUCCGGCCAUCCCCACCAGGCUGGUCACUCCUCGUGCUCUUGCUUCAGAUGCUGUCUGUUCACGCAGUUGUUCGGAGCUUCUCGAAGGGGAGGCGGGGCAGGGACCGUCCUUAAUUACGAAUAUGCUUCGUUUCCACUUUGAGUCACACUAGGAACCAGCAGGCCAGGCAAGGUCUUGCGUGAUCAAAAGAUUUGAAAGCCCUGCCAGGACCAGAGACGGGUGGAGCCUUGGGGCGCCUGGUGUAAGGUUAGUGACCGGACCAAAGCCCUCCUGGAGAGAGCCCUUUCCUGCCAAAGGCUGCCCACACGUGUGUAUAUGGGUGUGUGUGUGUGUGUGUGUGUGUGUGGGGAAGCCCUCUCCAGGGGAGGGCUCAGAGGCAGGUCCCCCCUCAGGCCCCCCACUGCUCUGGUGGGCAGAGUUGGGCAUUGGGGACCUGGGUCCUCGGCUGAUUGUGCCUCUUCCUCAGGGUGGGGGGUGCAAAGCAGGUGCCCAGACUCCCCCCACCCCUCCUGCUACGUGCUCACUGUCCAGAGAGGAGGUGGCCUCCAGAGGCUUCGUGGGGAGGGGUCUCGUGACCUCCCUCUGUCUACGUUUCACUCAGUCCUGCCAGUGCCACCCCUGUGAGCUGCCCCAGCUGCCCCGGGAGCAGGCGUGCCCAGGGAGAGGGGGGCUUCUGGGUGGGCAACCAGCCCUGCUUGCCCUACGUGUGCCUGAGAUGCUCCUGUCCACACCCGCCACCUCCCUCGUAUCGGUGGUCCUAGAAACACCCAGCAGGGGCCUGAUCUGGAAAAGCCAGACCCUCAUCUGGUGUCAGGUGCUACCAAGGACACCUGUGUGACGCACGCGCGCCACCCGCGUGCCUGAGGAGUGGCGCUCCAACCUGGGGAGUGCGUGCCUGGUUUUGGGACGGGUCCGUCUAGUUCUGUGGGAAUGGACAGUUCUGUAUUUGGUGGCUGGUUAGACACAAGGUUGGUGGCAGAACCCAGCUCCUCUGAGACACAUAACUGAGAACCAGAAACGUAACAGAGAAAAGCGCUGACCACGGUACCACGUCAGCGAUGGCCGUUCCUAGUCUUGAAAUGACAGAGCUACGAUCUUUGGAAUCGCUGAAACAAACUCUUUUUUUUUUUUUUUUUUUUUUUUUUUUUGUCUUUUUGCCAUUUCUUGGGCCGCUCCCGCGGCAUAUGGAGAUUCCCAGGCUAGGGGUCCAGUUGGAGCUGUAGCCGCCGGCCUACGCCAGAGCCACAGCAACAUCAGAUCUGAGCCGCGUCUGCAACCUCCACCACAGCUCACGGCCACACCGGAUCCUUAACCCACUGAGCAAGGCCAGGGUUCGAACCCGCAACCUCAUGGUUCCUAGUCGGAUUUUUUAACCACUGAGCCACGACGGGAACUCCAACAAACUCUUGAUAUUUGGUAAAACUACUUGCCCCUUGUGACGAAUAGUUUCGGAACUCAGCUUUCAGGUCAGGAGCCUUUUGCCAGCCUGCUUUCUGUCCCCAGAGCAAGGACAGGUGUUGAACCCGAGAUUUUGAUUCCCACAAAUCGUAUCGGAGCCGUUUACUGGCGGUCUCACUCAGCAUGUCUGAGACGCCGCCCAGGACUUCCUCUGUAGCGUUAAGGAAGAAUCAGCAAUACGGGGACGAGGUCGCAUUUCCACAAACCCACGUGCCUGGCCAGCGGGUACCGGUGACCAGGUCUCCAGGCCUGAGCGCCUGUGUCCGUGGACAUUGCUGUUGUCUUGGAGGUGACUGAUGCGGGGGCGGGGGGAGCUCAGUGGUCCUGGGUCCUCGCGGGGUGGACCUCU
rnacentral:lncRNA from 1 species